UGCGAGAAAUGUGAUACAAAGUAACAAUAUCCAGUUUUGGUGCCUAAUCGUUUUAAAAUUAGAUGUCUGCCUGUUAUAGACAUCAUGGGGGGGGGGGCGCAAAAAACUUCUACCUUAUUCCUUAGAACCAGAUUUAAUUCUUUUUCCUUGUACCCUAAUGGUAUUGUAAUUAAUAGCUGGUGCUUUUGUACUUGCUUGGUUUUCUAGAAGGUG
rnacentral:lncRNA from 1 species